AAGUCGUAACAAGGUCUCCGUUGGUGAACCAGCGGAGGGAUCAUUACAGAGUUGCAAAAACUCCCACAAACCAUCGCGAAUCUUACCCGUACGGUUGCCUCGGCGCUGGCGGUCCGGAAGGCCCUCGGGCCCCCCGGAUCCUCGGGUCUCCCGCUCGCGGGAGGCUGCCCGCCGGAGUGCCGAAACCAAACUCUUGAUAUUUUAUGUCUCUCUGAGUAAACUUUUAAAUAAGUCAAAACUUUCAACAACGGAUCUCUUGGUUCUGGCAUCGAUGAAGAACGCAGCGAAAUGCGAUAAGUAAUGUGAAUUGCAGAAUUCAGUGAAUCAUCGAAUCUUUGGACGCACAUUGCGCUCGCCAGUAUUCUGGCGAGCAUGCCUGUUCGAGCGUCAUUUCAACCAUCAAGCUCUGCUUGCGUUGGGGAUCCGCGGCUGCCCGCGGUCCCUCAAAAACAGUGGCGGGCUCGCUAGUCACACCGAGCGUAGUAACUCUACAUCGCUAUGGUCGUGCGCGGGUUCUUGCCGUAAAAACCCCCAAUUUCUAAGGUUGACCUCGGAUCAGGUAGGAAUACCCGCUGAACUUAA
rnacentral:rRNA from 1 species